rnacentral:tRNA from 1 species
AGAAAGUGGUAUAAGGGAAGUACAGGGGGUUUUGAGCUCCUUGGUGCAGGUUCGAAUCCUGUUUUUCUA